CCCUUAGAUGUCCUGGGCCGCACGCGCGCUACACUGAUGCAUUCAACGAGUUUUACCUUGGCCGAGAGGCCUGGGCAAUCUUUUAAACCUGCAUCGUGAUAGGGAUAGAUUAUUGCAAUUAUUAAUCUUGAACGAGGAAUUCCUAGUAAACGCAAAUCAUCAAUUUGCAUUGAUUACGUCCCUGCCCUUUGUACACACCGCCCGUCGCACCUACCGAUUGAAUGGUCCGGUGAAGCCUCGGGAUUGUGGCGGUUGCCUUUAUUGGUGGCCGCCGCGAGAACUUGUCUAAACCUUAUCAUCUAGAGGAAGGUGAAGUCGUAACA
rnacentral:rRNA from 1 species